CGCGGCCGCGUAUAGUGCCCACUGCAGUCAGUUCUUGCAGUCAGAGUCGGAAGUUCCCACGGUCGUUUUUCGUUGUACCGCAGUCACUCCCGCCGGUUGUUCUCAGGAAUCCGCUGCAUCAUCCGUUUGUUUCUUAAUAAGAGUUGAGGAUUUAUUUGCCAUGACCAAAGGCACCGUGAAGUGGUUUAACGAAAGCAAGGGCUUCGGCUUCAUCACCCCCGAAGACGGCGGCAAGGAUGUGUUCGUGCAUUUCUCCGCCAUCGACGCGGGCGGCUUCCGCACCCUGGCCGAAGGCCAGCAGGUCUCCUUCGAAGUGACCAACGGCCCCAAGGGCCUGGCCGCUGCGAACGUGAAGUCCCUGUAAGACAGUCUGCCAACGCAGAUUCAAAGAACCCCGCCUUGUGCGGGGUUCUUUUU
rnacentral:sRNA from 1 species